rnacentral:lncRNA from 1 species
GUGUGCCUCUCCUGAUCAGUGGAGGCAUAAACACAGACAAUCUGCUGCAUGUAUGUUUUUCUCAGCUUUACCAUGUAGCUCUGAGGUAUUGUCUUUACAUAUGGUCAUUACCAGCUGUGUAUAGUGUCCUGAACAAACCAUAAAAGCUCAGUAAGACUUCAUGGAAGAGGCAUUCAAAGCUUCAUACUUCCUUCUCUUAUAAAAAUGACUAAUGCAAGCAUAUUUUAUUGAGAGCAUUCAGACCAGGUAAAGGAAGCAACUUGUUCCAAGUCUCUCAACUUGGGGAAAUCUGAGGGGAGGUUGGAGAGUCAUUGAUGUAGCAGCAGUUCACACUUCCUGUGCACAGAUGGGAGGGAUGGCUCAGGAGGUAAAGCCACUUUCCUCCAGGAUUGAUGACCUGAGUUCAGACCCCCUGACUAGUGCUGGAAGGAGAAAACCAACUCCCACAGUUUUCCUCCCCCCAGUGUACACAUUGUUAACUUGAUCUACUGUCACCUGAUGGUGUCAUGGCCCUGUGUGUGGAAGAGGAGACAGCUUGGAGAAGUGAGGGUUGCAGCAUACACUGCAGAAGAACAGAGACUUCAAACAUCAGAGGGCCUGUAUAAGAUGGGACAUUGGCGUGAGCAGAGCAUCUCACCAUGUGUGCUCUUGGCUGGUGCUGUGCGUACUACCCUUAGGAGCCAGUCUGCAGUCUCUCCUGGAGCCUAGGGAUAGGCUACAGCCAAGCAGAAUAGGCAGCAUGUUGACGCCCUGAGACAGCCCCUCCAUUGGUUUCUUUUAUAGUAAGUUCAAGAGAUUUUGAAUGUCCUCUCUCCUUUCCCAAGGUCUGAUAAAUCGACAAGUCACCGUGGGAAAGCAACUGGCUGCAUCAGAACCAGAGUGCAGUCCCAUUUCAGGGCAGUGUCCCACAUGUGGACCCCAGCUGCUUAGUGUUGUCCCAGACACCUGGUGUCAGAUCACAAGGACCCAGGUCCACAGGGAUCAUUUCAGCCAUGAGGAUAGGACAAGGGCCAUACUGCCUGAAGACGGACUCUUCUGACUGGGCUAGGUGGGUAGCCAUCAGAGGAGACAGAGAGGACCAGGAG